GGCCUAUUGAUCUAGUGGGAGUGAUACCUGUUUCUCAGACAGGAGGCGAGGGUCCGAUUCCCUCAUAGGCUA
rnacentral:tRNA from 1 species